rnacentral:lncRNA from 1 species
CCACUUGCCUACAAGGCAAAGGUGAAGUUGUAUCUCCUUAGCCUGGUUUAGAAAACCUUCUUUCUCCCUUCACACCACUUUAUGGCCAUAUGUUUGUCUUUCUACACUCAACAAUACAGCAUUCCACAGAAAAAGCAAGCCCUUUACCUAAUACAUGCUUUUGCUUUCUCUCUUAGGAUGGAUUUCCCAAGAAACAGAGUCUGAGAGGAAGAUUUUCAGGCAGGAAGUUCAUUGGAGAGUUUUGUUGAGGACAGCAGUUGUAAGGGAAUAUAUUAGCUACCUAUUGUGAUGUGAAAAAUUACCUCAAAACUCUGCAGCUUGCAGCAAUAAGCAUUCAUUAUCUCCACCAUUUCUGGGGGUCAGGAAUCCAGGAGCAGCUUAGCUGUCUGGUUCUGGCUCUAGGUUCCUCAUGAGGAUGCAGUCACACUGUCAGUCAAGGGACAAUCCACUCCUGAACUCAGGGCAUGGUGUUGGCAGCACUCAGUUCUUCACCACACUGGCCGCUUAACAGUGUUCACGUGACAUGGCAGCUGGCUCUCCCCAGAAUGAGUGACAAGACAGAGUGAGGGAGGGAGUACACCAAGACCGAAGCCACUAGGAAGUGACAUCUUGCAAUGCCUGCCGUAAUCUAUUCACUAAAAUGAGUCACUAAGUUCAGCCCACACACAAGAGGAGAGAAAUGAAACUGCAUCUCUACUGGGAAGGAGCACAAAAGAAUGUACGGACAGAUCUUAAAGCCACCAGAGAGUAAGGGAAGCAGUGAUGGGCAGAGGGAGAAGUUAAAUACCGAUUCAGUCUUCACGGUGCUCGGCUGACCCCAGGGGAGUCCUGGAGCUUGGAUGGUGCCUUCAGAAAGGUCCCAAAAUGAGGCUGUUGACAAGUGACCAUCUAGCCCAGGAAGUGGAUUGUUUUAAUGCCCUUCAAGGUCCAGCAAAGACAAGGAUGACAACCAUAUUUGCAAGCCAGUCCCCACACUACCAAUGUUCUUUCUACAAGAAGUAGGUAGGAAGUCACUGGAGUCGAGGUGGGUAGCAGGAACCCCUGUACAAUGAGGAUGAAGAAAACCCUCAAGCAGGAGAAAAAGAAAAGAAGACAAUCAAAGAGAGAAGUUCUCAGCUUGAUGGGAGAUAUGGGCUGCAGCUGCAGUUAACUCAGUGGAUGUAGAAGAUAUGGAGUGGGGAACAACAGUGUUUGCUACUCUGGUCCUUCAAGUUUUUAUCGAGUGUUUUGAAGUAGGGAUUGUAUAAUGGGUGCCCAUCUGUCUCCACAGUGCCCAGCAGAGUUCUAGGAGGUAGAGACGUCUGUUGUGUUUGCUUUUUCUUCACCUUUUGGUGGUUCUUCACUAAUCUAUGCAUGAAUUCAUUUUGAAACCUAUAUCCCAUUUUCCUUCUGGGAAGUCAUUUUCUCUCCCCCUCUUAGCUCAUGAAUUCCCAGUGAAAUUGAAUCCACUGUGAAUUCCGUGGAAUUGCCUCCAGAGGUGGGCAGGGAAAUCAGGUCCAGUCAGUUAGAGUAUUUUAUUCUCUGACUACAGUAAUCAGUUCAGAAAGAGUAAGUGACGAAAUCAUAGCUAAUGAAAUGCAGGGAGACUUUAUGAAGAUUGCUGGAAAAUUGUCUUCAUUUUUCUCCUAGCAUUAAACCUGGAAGUUAUCUUGAAACACUAUAUUUGAUAGUUGCCCAUCAACAAAGCCAGCACUUAGCAAAUUGACAUAAGAAACAAUAGACAACUAAGUGAAGAGCAUUACUUGACUUGGAUCAAAUGAGUCCUCUGGAACCACACAUUCCUAUUUGGUAUUAGCAUAUUUGACAGGUUUUGUUGUCACAUGCAGUAAAAAAGUUGUGAUAUAUAUAUGCCAUUUUCUCUAGAAAGGACACUGGCUUCACAGAACAGGCACUAACUCAAUUCAACUUGAGUUUUAUUAAGUAGAAGAAAAGGAAAUCUCAUGAACUCCUAGGGACAAGGAAUAAAGUUUGAAAAGACAGCAUGGGUAAGACUCUGGAAAGUGACUCAGGAAACUGUGUAGUUUUACAUGCUUCAUGCUUCUCUAGUGGAUGGUCAUUGAAAUAAUUACUAAAGGAUAAACUCCAGGAAAAAGAGAAGUGGAUCAGAAGAAAGAAAUGAAAUGCAAGAAUAAAUAGGGAGAAAAAAAGUUGCUGAACAUGAAGAUAAAUCUAAGAAAGUGUUACAGAACAUGAGGGGAUAUCUGUGAAAGCAUUAGUUUAUAAAAUGAGAACAACAAUGGCUAAAUUUGAGGGUUAAAAGAGGUUGGAACUAAAUUACGAAGCACAACAUCAUUUAUGUCAUGAGGGUGGGAUCACAAGGAAGCCUUUGCAAGUACUUGCUUGUUCAGGAGAGGGAAGGAGAUAUAGAUCACUUAGGCAUAAGUCUAUUUUCUGGUUAAGAGUCAUCACUAAGGCCGGGCGCAGUGGCUCACGCCUGUAAUCCCAGCACUUUGGGAGGCCGAGGCGGGCGGAUCACGA